AUCCAGCUGACCAGUCCCGAUUGGGACAAAAUGCGCGUCCUGGAU
rnacentral:hammerhead_ribozyme from 1 species